GGGUUGUGAGGUUAAGCGACUAAGCGUACACGGUGGAUGCCCUGGCAGUCAGAGGCGAUGAAGGACGUGCUAAUCUGCGAUAAGCGUCGGUAAGGUGAUAUGAACCGUUAUAACCGGCGAUUUCCGAAUGGGGAAACCCAGUGUGAUUCGUCACACUAUCAUUAACUGAAUCCAUAGGUUAAUGAGGCGAACCGGGGGAACUGAAACAUCUAAGUACCCCGAGGAAAAGAAAUCAACCGAGAUUCCCCCAGUAGCGGCGAGCGAACGGGGAGCAGCCCAGAGCCUGAAUCAGUGUGUGUGUUAGUGGAAGCGUCUGGAAAGGCGCGCGAUACAGGGUGACAGCCCCGUACACAAAAAUGCACAUG
rnacentral:rRNA from 1 species